rnacentral:snRNA from 1 species
CAAAAACUAAGUCUGGGGG